UACGUAGGUGGCAAGCGUUGUCCGGAUUUACUGGGCGUAAAGAGCACGCCGGCGGUCGGAUAAGUCGAAUGUGAAAGCCCCCGGCUCAACUGGGGAGGGUCAUUCGAUACUGUUCGACUCGAAGGCAGGAGAGGGAAGUGGAAUUCCCGGUGUAGUGGUGAAAUGCGUAGAUAUCGGGAGGAACACCAGUGGCGAAGGCGACUUCCUGGCCUGUUCUUGACGCUGAGGCGCGAAAGCUAGGGGAGCAAACGGGG
rnacentral:rRNA from 1 species